UUGACCUCGGAUCAGGUAGGAAGACCCGCUGAACUUAAGCAUAUCAAUAAGCGGAGGAAAAGAAACCAACAGGGAUUGCCCUAGUAACGGCGAGUGAAGCGGCAACAGCUCAAAUUUGAAAUCUGGCUUCGGCCCGAGUUGUAAUUUGCAGAGGAAGCUUUAGGCGCGGCACCAACUGAGUCCCCUGGAACGGGGCGCCACAGAGGGUGAGAGCCCCGUAUAGUUGGACGCCUAGCCUGUGUAAAGCUCCUUCGACGAGUCGAGUAGUUUGGGAAUGCUGCUCAAAAUGGGAGGUAAAUUUCUUCUAAAGCUAAAUACCGGCCAGAGACCGAUAGCGCACAAGUAGAGUGAUCGAAAGAUGAAAAGCACUUUGAAAAGAGGGUUAAAUAGCACGUGAAAUUGUUGAAAGGGAAGCGCUUGUGACCAGACUUGCGCCCGGCUGAUCAUCCGGUGUUCUCACCGGUGCACUCUGCCGGGCUCAGGCCAGCAUCGGUUCUCGCGGGGGGAUAAAGGCCCUGGGAACGUAGCUCCUCCGGGAGUGUUAUAGCCCAGGGUGUAAUGCCCUCGCG
rnacentral:rRNA from 1 species